CCAAGCGUUAUCCGGAUUUAUUGGGUUUAAAGGGUGCGUAGGCGGGUUAUUAAGUCAGUGGUGAAAGCCUUCAGCUUAACUGAAGAACUGCCAUUGAUACUGAUGAUCUUGAGUAUGAUUGAGGUUGGCGGAAUGUGUCAUGUAGCGGUGAAAUGCUUAGAUAUGACACAGAACACCGAUUGCGAAGGCAGCUAACUAAGCCAUAACUGACGCUGAUGCACGAAAGCGUGGGGAGCAAACAGG
rnacentral:rRNA from 1 species